CGUGGGCUAUGAGCCUUAGUAGCGAAGCUAACGCGUAAGUUCUCGCUGGGGAGUACGACGCAAGCUAAACUCAAAGGAAUUGACGGGGGCCGCACAAGCGGUGAGCAUGUGUUAAUUCGAUGCAACGCGAAGAACCUUACCUACUCUUGACAUCCUUGGAAUCCUCUAGAGAUAGAGGAGUGCCUUCGGGAACCAAGUGACAGGUGCUGCAUGGCUGUCGUCAGCUCGUGUCGUGAGAUGUUGGGUUAAGUCCCGUAACGAGCGCAACCCUCGCCCUUAGUUGCCAUCAGUUCGGCUGGGAACUCUAAGGGGACCGCCGGUGAUAAACCGGAGGAAGGUGGGGGUGAUGUCAAGUCAUCAUGGCCCUUACGAGUAGGGCUACACACGUGCUACAAUGGGCAGUACAAAGGGUUGCGAUACCGCGAGGUGGAGCUAAUCCCAUAAAGCUGCUCUUAGUCCGGAUUGGAGUCUGCAACUCGACUCCAUGAAGUUGGAAUCGCUAGUAAUCGCGAAUCAGAAUGUCGCGGUGAAUACGUUCCCGGGCCUUGUACACACCGCCCGUCACACCAUGGGAGUGAUUUGUACCAGAAGCGGGUAGGCUAACCUUCGGGAGGCCGCUCUCCACGGUAUGAUUCAUGACUGGGGUGAAGUCGUAACAAGGUAA
rnacentral:rRNA from 1 species